rnacentral:lncRNA from 1 species
AAAAAAAAUUGAUUUAAAAAACUAAUAAUAUAAAAGUAUGUUAAAAAAAGAAAAAAUAAUAAGAAAAAACCCAAAAUCCAAUGCGUGCUAUCAGUGAACGUGUUUUCACUGUUUUGAUGCAAGCUACAACACGCACCGCCAACCACAAGAGCAACAUGAAAAACCAGUUUAAAAUUCCACAGUAGAAAGACGAAGGUGGUUCGCCGCCGCGCCACCAGCAAUGAUCACCCGCCGUGUGCGUUCAUCUCCUUUGGUAUGGGUGCUCUCCCUCUCCCUCU